ACAAGACCAGCCAAGAAGCAGGAGGCUACAUCAGGCUACUGGAGGAUCCUCAGUUCAACUUCUUCCUGCAACUGUUUCAUAAAAUAAUGCCACACGUGGACGUCCUCUAUGCCAAGCUCCAGAAGAGAGACAUAGAUUCAGUCCAUAUAGAAAGAUGCAUCCAGCAGUUCCAAGAGGACAUACAAAAAAUCAGAGAUUCUCUCCAUGCAAUGGUGGUGGAGCAAAGCAGUGGCUCUCAGCAGCCGAGGAAGCGCCGGGCUGUGUCGGAAGAUGAGCUUAGAAGGAUUGCUGCUGAGGUAUGUGACACCAUACUUGGACACACCAAGGAACGCUUUGCCUUCAAAGACCACCUCAUCAGUGCCACCUUACUGCAGGGCAACCAGUUUGAAUGCUACCUCAAGGUAUUCCCUGAAGUUGCUUUGGCCACCACAUUGAAGGCCUAUCCAAUUCUGGAUGGAGGCAAGCUGAAGACAGAGCUUGGCCUCAUCUAUGGCACAGACGAAUUCAGAUCCUGCCGUAGUGCUGUGGAUCUUUUCCAGUUGUUCAUGGAAAACAAUCUAUCUGAGGUAUUUUCAGAGACAGUUACACUGCUGAAAAUCAUGAUCACAACUCCCAUGACCACUGCUGAGGCUGAGAGGUGUUUUUCAACUCUGAAAAGGAUUAAAACCUUCCUCAGGAACACCAUGAGUCAGGAGAGACUG